rnacentral:misc_RNA from 1 species
AACGCACCUUGCGCUCCUUGGUAUUCCGAGGAGCAUGCCUGUUUGAGUGUCAUGAAACCCUCAAACCCAAGUUUUGGAUUUCGGUCCAUGCUUGAGUUUGGAUUUGGAUGUUUGCCGGUGAUGAACCGACUCAUCUUAAAAGUAUUAGCUGGAUCUGUCUAUAUGACUGGUUUGACUUGGCAUAAUAAGUAUUUUGCUGAGGACAUCUUCGGAUGGCCAGGACCUAGACUAUUGUCUGCUAACUAAACCAUCACUUUAAGUGCAUCCUUGGAUGUUACUCAUUGUGUAACUUUGACAUCUGGCCUCAAAUCAGGUAGGACUACCCGCUGAACUUAA